rnacentral:rRNA from 1 species
AUUGAACGCUGGCGGCAGGCCUAACACAUGCAAGUCGAGCGGAGCGGCGGACGGGUACGUAAUGCCUAGGAAUCUGCCUGGUAGUGGGGGAUAACGUCCGGAAACGGGCGCUAAUACCGCAUACUAUCAGAUGAGCCUAGGUCGGAUUAGCUAGUGGGUGGGGUAAGGGCCUACCAAGGCGACGAUCCGUAACUGGUCUGAGAGGAUGAUCAGGCACACGGGAACUGAGAUACGGUCCAGACUCCUACGGGAGGCAGUGGUGGGGAAUAUUGGAAAAUUGGGGAAAGCCCUAUCCAGCCACGCCGCGUGCGUGAAGAAGGUCUUCGGAUCGUAAAGCACUUUAAGUUGGGAGGCGUUACCAACAGAAUAAGCACCGGCUAACUUCGUGCCAGCAGCCGCGGUAAUAC